UUUUCUGAAAAAAAAGUAUUUUAGAAAUCCAUAUCUAGGCAAUAUUCAAUUCCAAGGUUUGCCUUAAAGAUCUAGUUAUGCUUACUCAUCAAAUAAAAAUAAUGUAGCUCCUCUGACCUGUGUAAUAUCAAAGCCCCAAAUGCUUUUAAAACUAAGAGCUAUUGAGUUUCCUUUGCAAGAUGGCCAGUUCAGAAAUUUUGAUUUUUAAAAGAAAUGAGAGUUUAACAUUUUCAGAAAACUUAGGAUUGCAUUAGCAUUCUUUAUAAUAUGUAAUACACUGUGCUUGAAACUAAAUGCUUUCAGACUUCAGCUUUAUGCUUAUAAAAAUGGAAUCAAGUCAAGUUCCUUAUGAUUUCUUCCUCAGAGGUGCUUGACUUUUCCACCUCCUUUAAUUUGGCAUUAGCCUUUUUGUUCCCUGUACUGAGUCUUUUAACCACAUGUUCUGAGCAUCCAAUUACCGACUUUUUAAUCCGAUUAACAGUGAAAUCUGUGUCUGGUCUGGCAAAGCACAGAAAAUACACUCACAAGUGGUGUCUGCUCACAGUAAGUCCUACUUUGCAGCAAUACUAUACUACGGUUUUAAAUUUGGGAUUGAAUUUAGACUUAGAGUGUCAAUCUUCCAACUCCUCUUCCUAGGGACAUGAUUAUACAAGUGACUGAACCUCUCUAUACUGCAGCUUUCCCACCUGUACAAGUGAAGAAUAGUACCUCCUAGGAUUGCUGUGAGGGUUACAUGAAACAAAGCAUGUUUACUGAACAGUAUGUAGCCAUGGAGUAAACGUUCAAUAAAUACUGUUGUGUUAUUACCAUUGGACAAAUUAAGAAUAUUCUUUCCGUUACUCAGAACUAGACUACUAAAUUUGUGACAAUCCAAAAACUUUGUGGUGUUUUUUUUCCUUUCUACCUGCUUACUCACUUGGACCUCCAUUUUAGCAUUCUCAAUAUCAAUUAGCAUUUGAUUCCAGUUGGCUUUGAAGAUGCAAGGAGGACAGAAUUUGAGCUGACUCCUAAGACAUGCAGCGGUUACACCACAGCACCAAAUUGUUUGGGAACAGCUGAAGUCACUCAAAAGAGAACUGCCAGCCUAUAAACAAAUGAGUCCCAACUAUAAAACUUUUGUAGAAUCCCACAUGAGAGUUGUUCAGUGUGUCCAUUGAGAAAACUAAUGGCUAAAAACUGUUAUGAAUUUAAAAACAUGUUUAAAUGAAAAAUACUGCAUCAAUCAUGAUAGCAUGCACUUAAAUGUUUAAAAUAGCAACAUUCUUUUUCAAACUACAGACAAACUUGGUGCACAUAUGGGUUCCUAUCUCCCUUGCAAUCAAAAACUAGACCCUUCUGAGUAUCUAUCACUGACCACAAGUUAUUGACCACAAAUUUAGACUAAGAAUGCUUUCUAAUGCUGGGUCACUGCUUCUAUGCUUCCCUAAAUAAUUGCAAUGUUUUAUAAUCAGCACUGCUGGCAUACACUGGACUGGCAGUUUCAAUGAAUUUAUUUGUGCUAUGUAAUGGUAGCUGGCAAUUAUCUGUGGUCUGGGGUAACCCAGGACAGCUACUCCUUGAAUAAUUGACCACAGUGACCCACAUGUCUGCCUAAUCAGAAGGAAGAUUCCAAGUUAAGUUCUUUGGAAUGAACGAUCCAACCCACUGUUUUCUAUUAUUUACUGUGAUGUUCACAAACUGUAUUCAGUGGAACACUGUGGAUUGUUGAUAUUCUAGUAUCAAAAGAAGGGUUCCCUCAUCAAAUAAGUAUGGACAGCUCAACACAGACUUCUUCCCUCCUAUCAAUACAUUAUUUGUCACACAUAAACAUCCUGAGAAGUCUUGCAAUAAGAACCGUAAUUUAAAGAAGAGGAUAAAAUACAAAGUAUUUCCCAAACUUACUUGAUCAUUUAUAACUAAAUAAGGACUAGUCCCCUUUAUUAACAGAGUUUCACUCAGGGCUGGUCCAAUAGGAAUAUAUAUACUUUGGGAAAUGCUGCUUGAUUAAUUUAUCUCCUAUUUACUAUUAAAUUCACUAUUCGAUAAUUCCAAAAAUGCUUUUGUCUACUUUCCUUCCAUCUAAUUUUUCUCUCUGUUCCUCACCCUUUCGAACCCAUUACAUUGCCAGAUUUAGCUAAUUAAUUAAUUAAAAUAAAAACAAGAGACCCAGUUACAUUUGAAUUUCAGACAAUGAAUAUUUUUUAAUAUAAGUAAGUCCCAAAUAUUGCAUAACACACUGGAAUGUGUGUCCUGUAUUUUAUCUGGCAACCCUAACUCUGAGCCAAAUGAGGGCUAUUAGCAAUUUAAAAAACUCAAUUUAAUUUAAUAAUAAAUACAUGCAAGGAAGUCAUGCGAUGCUUGCCAAAUAUGUUUCUUGAAAUAUAACUUUGGUCUUUUCAUAAUAAUUU
rnacentral:lncRNA from 1 species